AACGAACGCUGGCGGCAGGCUUAACACAUGCAAGUCGAACGCACCUUUCGGGGUGAGUGGCAGACGGGUGAGUAACGCGUGGGAAUCUACCCUUCUCUACGGGAUAGCUCCGGGAAACUGGAAUUAAUACCGUAUACGUCCUGAGGGAGAAAGAAUUAUCGGGGAAGGAUGAGCCCGCGUUGGAUUAGCUAGUUGGUGGGGUAAAGGCCUACCAAGGCGACGAUCCAUAGCUGGUCUAAGAGGAUGAUCAGCCACAUUGGGACUGGGACACGGCCCAAACUCCUACGGGAGGCAGCAGUGGGGAAUAUUGGACAAUGGGCGCAAGCCUGAUCCAGCCAUGCCGCGUGAGUGAUGAAGGCCCUAGGGUUGUAAAGCUCUUUCAGUGGGGACGAUAAUGACGGUACCCACAGAAGAAGCCCCGGCUAACUUCGUG
rnacentral:rRNA from 1 species